GACGAACGCGGGCGGCGUGCUUAACACAUGCAAGUCGAACGAAGAGCGAUGGAAGCUUGCUUCUAUCAAUCUUAGUGGCGAACGGGUGAGUAACGCGUAAUCAACCUGCCCUUCAGAGGGGGACAACAGUUGGAAACGACUGCUAAUACCGCAUACGAUCUAACCUCGGCAUCGAGGAUAGAUGAAAGGUGGCCUCUACAUGUAAGCUAUCACUGAAGGAGGGGAUUGCGUCUGAUUAGCUAGUUGGAGGGGUAACGGCCCACCAAGGCGGUGAUCAGUAGCCGGUCUGAGAGGAUGAACGGCCACAUUGGGACUGAGACACGGCCCAGACUCCUACGGGAGGCAGCAGUGGGGAAUCUUCCGCAAUGGACGAAAGUCUGACGGAGCAACGCCGCGUGAGUGAUGACGGCCUUCGGGUUGUAAAGCUCUGUUAAUCGGGACGAAAGGCC
rnacentral:rRNA from 1 species